CCCAAUGCACCCAUUCAUUUAGCACAUGCUAUGCUCUUUCCUCUCACAGGAGACUUGUCACCCACUCAUUUCACUGACAAUUCUAGCUUUUGUUAAAGAGUUGCUCCACUCAUAAACUGGGAUGGUUUGAACAGGACUGGAACGGAAGGAAGGAUUGACUUUUCUAAAGAUGGUAACCAACAUGGAUGUGCUGGGCUCCCUGGGCUGCCCGGGAUGACCAUAACUUUGACACUGGGAACGCUGAGUGCAGCCUGAGGGUGGCCCUGGAUGGCUUCUGUGGCUGACCACACUUGCUUCUUUGGUUGGUGUUUCCUAAACAUUUACCAUAUGUAAGACAUAAUGCUGGGCUUAGGAUACAGUGAGGAGCAGCCCAUGCAUGGGCUCAGCCCUUCUGCUCCCAGGGGACACUGGGGUAAGCAUAGACACAGGACACUAACUUUAUCCCUUCUUUCCUUAGUUCAGUCUUCAAAUGUAUUUUAAAAGCCUUCUCUGUGAUAGAUGUUUUUCCAGACUGCUUCCUGUGUGAAAGCUCAGUCUUUUGGAGGAGAGAAAGAAAUACAUGAGGAUUUUUAAGGAACUUCAUCUCAAAGACCAAUAAAGAUCGCCAGUGAUUUUACGGUGAUUUCCCUCACGUGGGGCCUCCAGCUCUGCCUGCCACCUUUCAAUAGAAGGACCUAAGGAGGAAACAUAAAGCCCAGAGGGAAAAGUCGCAGGAAGUGCUAGUGUCUGUGGGUCUGAACCCUGAACAAGUGGUGUCGGGAUUCCUGCUGUCCAGAGGAGCCCAUUCAGACGGUUGCUAGGGCCAGCUUGGCCCCAGGUGGCCCCCGCCUCUACCUCUCCCUGGCUUUGUUCAUCAACGGCCUCUCCUUUUAGACAUAUUAUCUUUUCUGCUUUGAUCUGCUUCCCACGACAUAAGAUUGUGAUAGGCCAUAUGUGGAACUUCCAGUGACCAUUCCAGAGAAACCCAGGGAGGAUGAAUGGGUAAUAUGGAAGAGAAAGCUGCAGCCACAGACAUGCCAUACAGAUCAGGAGGAGGAAGUGAGCCCUUAAAGGGCCAGCCCUGCCCAACAAGGGGCCUUGGGAGGAAGUGCAUGUGUGUGUGUCCAUGGCCCUGCUCCAGCUACAGGAAGGUGUCCUCAGGAAUCGGACCCAGGACUUCAAAGGCCCUUCUUUGAAAGAUGCAAAUGCCUGUUUGCUCAGACAGGUUUGCUUCAAAGUGCAGCCGUUUGGGAAUGUCAGUGCAGAAGGCACAAUGAAGCCCGAGGACCAAGGCCCCUUCUGUCUGCCCACAGAUGCUCUCAGAGUAAAGGAGGAGGAAUUAAAGAGAAUCUGAGGACAGGUACUUGCCCCAGCUCUACUGCUAAUUGGAUCUCGAGCUCAUCCCUUAACUUUUCAGGUCGCUCAGCUAAAAUGGAGAUAAUGGGCCCCACCUAGUUUGUCCAUAGAGGGGAACCCUGGAGACAAGGUCUUCAAAAGUCUUGAGUAUCAGACCCUAGACAGAUCAGAGACAUGGAGGAGGAGGGUGAUGUUGGUCCAUGAGCCAUUCGCUUUAUCACAUCGUAUCUGUCUUCUGAGUUUUAACACGUACCUGUAUUUUCA